UACGGAAGGCAGCGGUGGGGAAUAUUGCACAAUGGGCGCAAGCCUGAUGCAGCCAUGCCGCGUGUAUGAAAAAGGCCUUCGGGUUGUAAAGUACUUUUCAGUCGUGAGGAAGGUGUUAAGGUUAAUAACCUUAGCAAUUGACGUUAGCGACAGAAGAAGCACCGGCUAACUCCGUGCCAGCAGCCGCGGUAAUACGGAGGGUGCGAGCGUUAAUCGGAAUUACUGGGCGUAAAGGGCACGCAGGCGGUUAAUUAAGUUGGAUGUGAAAUCCCCGGGCUUAACCUGGGAAUGGCAUUCAAGACUGGCUAGCUAGAGUCUUGUAGAGGGGGUAGAAUUCCAUGUGUAGCGGUGAAAUGCGUAGAGAUGUGGAGGAAUACCGGUGGCGAAGGCGGCCCCUGGACAAAGACUGACGCUCAUGUGCGAAAGCGUGGGGAGCAAACGAGGGAUUAGAUACC
rnacentral:rRNA from 1 species